GCGCCUGUAGCUCAGUCGGAUAGAGCACCUGCCUUCUAAGCAGGUUGUCGCUGGUUCGAUUCCAGCCAGGCGCGC
rnacentral:tRNA from 1 species